rnacentral:sRNA from 1 species
UCAAGGCCGCCUGGGGUAAGGUCGGCGCGCACGCUGGCGAGUAUGGUGCGGAGGCCCUGGAAAGGAUGUUCCUGUCCUUCCCCACCACCAAGACUUACUUCCCGCACUUCGACCUGAGCCACGGCUCUGCCCAGGUUAAGGGCCACGGCAAGAAGGUGGCCGACGCGCUGACCAACGCCGUGGCGCACGUGGACGACAUGCCCAACGCGCUGUCCGCCCUGAGUGACCUGCACGCGCACAAGCUUCGGGUGGACCCGGUCAACUUCAAGGUGAGCGGCGGGCCGGGAGCGAUCUGGGUCGAGGGGCGAGAUGGCGCCUUCCUCGCAGGGCAGAGGAUCACGCGGGGUGCGGGAGGUGUAGCGCAGGCGGCGGCUGCGGGCCUGGGCUCCACUGACCCUCUUCU